UACGUAGGGUGCAAGCGUUAAUCGGAAUUACUGGGCGUAAAGCGUGCGCAGGCGGUUUUGUAAGUUUUGUCGUGAAAGCCCCGGGCUCAACCUGGGAAUUGCGAUGAAGACUGCAAGGCUUGAAUCUGGCAGAGGGGGGGUAGAAUUCCACGUGUAGCAGUGAAAUGCGUAGAGAUGUGGAGGAACACCGAUGGCGAAGGCAGCCCCCUGGGCUAACACUGACGCUCAGGCACGAAAGCGUGGGGAGCAAACAGG
rnacentral:rRNA from 1 species